rnacentral:rRNA from 1 species
GACGAACGCUGGCGGCGUGCCUAAUACAUGCAAGUUGAGCGCUGAAGGUUGGUACUUGUACCAACUGGAUGAGCAGCGAACGGGUGAGUAACGCGUGGGGAAUCUGCCUUUGAGCGGGGGACAACAUUUGGAAACGAAUGCUAAUACCGCAUAAAAACUUUAAACACAAGUUUUAAGUUUGAAAGAUGCAAUUGCAUCACUCAAAGAUGAUCCCGCGUUGUAUUAGCUAGUUGGUGAGGUAAAGGCUCACCGAGGCGAUGAUACAUAGCCGACCUGAGAGGGUGAUCGGCCACAUUGGGACUGAGACACGGCCCAAACUCCUACGGGAGGCAGCAGUAGGGAAUCUUCGGCAAUGGACGAAAGUCUGACCGAGCAACGCCGCGUGAGUGAAGAAGGUUUUCGGAUCGGAAAACUCUGUUGGUAGAGAAGAACGUUGGUGAGAGUGGAAAGCUCAUCAAGUGACGGUAACUACCCAGAAAGGGACGGCUAACUACGUG